rnacentral:tRNA from 1 species
GUGCCCUGUAGUGCAAUGGAUAGCGCAUUGGACUUCUAAUCCAAAGAUCGUGGGUUCGAAUCCCACCUGGGAUG